rnacentral:rRNA from 1 species
GCCACUGCUAUUGGGGUUCGGCUAAGCCAUGCGAGUGGAGGGCGUCCCGCAAGGGGUGGCCCCGCAGACGGCUCAGUAACACGUCGUCAACCCACCUUAGGGUGGGGGACAACCUCGGGAAACUGAGGAUAAUCCCCCAUAGGCGGGGGAGGCUAGAAUGCGCCCCCGCUGAAAGCUCAGGCGCCCUAGGACGGGGCGGCGGCCUAUCAGGUAGUUGGUGGUGUGACG